GGCCUGUUGGUCUAGGAAUAUGAUUCUCGCUUUGGGUGCGAGAGGUCCCGGGUUCAAAUCCCGGACAGGCCC
rnacentral:tRNA from 2 species